rnacentral:rRNA from 1 species
GACGUAGGGCGCGAGCGUUGUCCGGAUUUAUUGGGCGUAAAGAGCUCGUAGGCGGCUUGUCGCGUCGUCCGUGAAAACCCACAGCUCAACUGUGGGCUUGCGGUCGAUACGGGCAGGCUAGAGUUCGGCAGGGGAGACUGGAAUUCCUGGUGGUAGCGGUGAAAUGCGCAGAUAUCAGGAGGAACACCGGUGGCGAAGGCGGGUCUCUGGGCCGAUACUGACGCUGAGGAGCGAAAGCGUGGGGAGCGAACAGG